rnacentral:rRNA from 1 species
UGGGGAAUUUUGCGCAAUGGACGAAAGUCUGACGCAGCGACGCCGCGUGUGCGAUGAAGGCCUUUGGGUCGUAAAGCACUGUCGACCGGGACGAAAACUCACGGACUAAUACUUCGUGAGUCUGACGGUACUGGUAAAGGAAGCACCGGCUAACUCUGUGCCAGCAGCCGCGGUAAUACAGAGGGUGCAAACGUUGCUCGGAAUUAUUGGGCGUAAAGGGCGCGUAGGCGGGAGUAUAAGUCAGAUGUGAAGUACCUGGGCUCAACCUGGGAACUGCAUUUGAUACUGUACUGUCUAGAGUGGAGUAGAGGGCAGUGGAAUUUCCGGUGUAGCGGUGAAAUGCGUAGAUAUCGGAAAGAACACCAGUGGCGAAGGCGACUGCCUGGACUCCAACUGACGCUGAGGCGCGAAAGCGUGGGGAGCAAACAGGAUUAGAUACCCUUGUAGUCCCUGAGCGGGCUGGCAAGGCG